CGGAAAAGUAUUCCAUCAAUUUUGACAAGAUCAUCAACAUCACUGGAUGAAAUGCAGCCAAAAACCCUAAAACAGUCAUGAAAAAGCAGCCAGUGUCCAAAGAAAAACUUUGAAAGACGUUAAGAGAACCUAGAAAACUAUUACUCAUGAUCAUUUUUUCCAAAAAUAACGAAAUAUAAAAUUAAAAAUCUGGCUCCUAGAAAGCAAAGAUAUAAAGAAAUGGGGGUAGCUCAAGAUUUUUCCGUGGACAUGAUAAAUAUUUGUCAGCAUGAACGUGGUUGAUAUUAACAUGGUAACAAAUGGAUCACAGCAUGAUAGUAUUAGCAGUUAGCUUCCUCACAGAUGUCCUUUCAUCACUGCAGACUUUUGGCGUCGGUCUCCUAAACACAGAUUGCACCGUGUCCUGGAAAAAAAACAAAAGAAAAAAAAACAAAAAGAAACAAGAUUCUUGGACGAAGUGUAACACAUGUCUAGGAAAGUGGGCCCUUCUCUUGCUAGCAAGGAAAUCUCUAGAAGACAAAAUGAUGUGUGAAAUUAGGUGAGGUGGCUUUGCUUUCAGCUAAACAUCCCACUCAUUUAGCUGUUUCUUUAUUUCCUCCACACUGUCCUACUUCACUGUACAUUAUAUGGAAGUUAUUUAGCUCAGUGUUUGGUGAACCGUGUAACCUUGUUAAUUGUGUACGGCUCUACAGCCUCGCAGCUUUUCCACAGAGCCUACUUCAAGUGAGUCACGUGAAGAAGACUUAAGAGCGCUGAAGCAAAAGACAUGUUACAGCUCUACAGUUCUACGAUGAGGAGAUAUAGCGGGGGUGUAGUCAUCAGAGGCCAAAAUAGGUCAGCCUGGAAGGGCUUGCUAUCGUAAGUGAGCUGCCAAGAUGUGUUAUGAGAUGGAGCCCAUAUUUGAAAAACAUACGCCCAUUCACAUGCACAUCAAUUUUUUAUUAGAGAAUGCAAGAAAAUGCAAUUAACUAUUAAGUGGACAAGGCUAAACAAGGGGGAAAUGAAAUUCAAUAUUUACCGUGUUGUUUGAUGAGAACUAAUGAAGUUUGAGAAACAAGAAUUGUGGAGUCGGUUGAGAUUCUGGGCAAUGUGACAACUGGGGCUCUCAAAAUAAUCUUGAGCAUCUUCCAGUGGCCCUAUUCAGCUCUGGGGCCCCUCCAUCAGUCGAUUCCCCCUUUAAUUAGCAGCCCUGCAAGUCUGGUUUUUAAUCUGCCAAAUCAUCACAACUCUGAUGUGGAAACUCUGCAGAAAAAGCGUUCUGCUCACAGUCCUUUUGGCCCUUGAUGAAUGAAAAAUUCCCUCUCCGCAGAUUCACUCACACAUUCCCCAGAUGAUGAUUAAUUACCACUGGUAUUAUCUCAUGAGAAGACAUUUUUCACAAGGAUUGCAGACAUGACUAUUCACUUCAGUGAGAGAAAUGCAGAAUAUAAUAUCUCAUUUGUCAUCAUCGGGUGAAUUCUCACACCAGACUGAAAUCACAACGUUUUGAUAUUUGUUACUUAAUGCUAAUCAGUGACAGCUUAACCAGCAGACUGUCACUUAUAUAGGGAAUGGUAGUUUGAUUAAAAAUCAUCACCAGAAAAUUUAAAAGAAAUACUGUGUCACUUUGAUGACACAAAGUAAACACUGGAGAAUUGAUUCUUUCCAGGAACUGUAUUUAAUGUGAUCUUUGACGUUAGCAUCAAUGCUGUUGUUUUAAAGCUGCAAUAAGCAGAAAGUUUGAAAUCUUUAAGUCACAGAGACUGAUGUUCGGAUUUUUGAUGAAUUUGCUUUUUAGAGAACUCGAUGUACAGGCAUGGUUUAAAAAAAAAGAAAAAAAGAAAAAAAAAAGAAUGUAUGCCCACUAUGUCCAGAUUUGACAUAUCUGGACAUAAUAAAAACAUAUCUAGUUCUCACCAGGUGUUAAUAUCUCAAUAUUAUAAACAACAACAACACAUAUUACAGAGUGUUGUUAUUUAGUUAAAAAAAGCCAAGUACACACCAUGAUCCACUUUUAGCAGCAAUAACUUGCAGUAAUAACUUUCUGUUUGAUUUUAUCACUCUCACAUCAAUGUGGAGGAAUUUUGCUUUGCUCUUGUUAUUUCAAUUCAUUGAGAUUUGCAGAAAUUUGUUCAUGCAAAACAAACAAAGAACUGCACACAUCUGUAUUGCACUCAUUUGAUUUCGGCACCAUUUUCUCUGCAAUAAGUUCAAAAAGGCCAGUUUAGUUAGUACUUGUGGAAACCCCUCCUGCAUGCCUAUGUCCUUUUUAGUAGGGUAGUCACUCGCUAACUGUCUAUUGUCCUCUGUAUUAUAAUUGACUGAGGAUUUGAAUAUUCUUCCUGGCUGGGGGCAAAAUAAUUAACAUCAUGGAAGAAUAACUUGUGCAUAUCAUCACAGAUACAAGGCUUUCACUGUAAUAUAUCAAUAUAGAGUUAUAUAUUUUAAAGAAACAUUGAUUUUUCUGUCUAAAUUCAGUCAUCUAUCAGUUAAAAUGUUAAUAACUCAAUUAUUAAACUUAAACUUUGUUUCAUGAUGAUGCCUGGUAUUAGACUCCAGUCAGUAUCAGUUUGUAGUUUCAGGAUUUUCUAUGUUUUAUCUGUGAAAUUUUAUACAUUAAAGGAAAAUAACAGAGUUUUAUCAAAUAUGAAAACGGUCUUUAGUUAGGGAGAGCCUUCAUCACCCUUCUGAGUCUCAGAGAGAUGCAGAAAAUAGAGACUUUUACUACCUGGAGGAGGGGGAAGAGAGGAGGAAAAGUGAGUCGAGAAAUGGCCCUUGUGCUUAUUUUAUUUAGGCCCGCUUUCUCUCUUUUUCUUUCAUUUCUAUAAAUAGACAGACGCUUGGCAGCUGAGGGGGUAGUCCACGCAGAACAAAUGCACCCCCUGGCUGUUUCACUUCAUUCGCCACAUAAUGAGCCAGACGGAACACGCACAGAUCGCCGCCGUCACUUCCACUCUCCCCGCGACCGAGGCAGGGGCCACAAGUUGCCAUGGAGAUGUGGCUGUGGGGCACAGGGGCCCGGGCAAUGUGACGCUAAGUCCCUCAGUCGAACUGACCUCUCCGCCUUGAUCUGUGUCUCAUCCGGUCUUCCUUCAUAUCGCCAUCCCGUACUUUUGAUGCUCCACCCUCCAUCCUGUCCUUCUGUCUUUCAUUCAGCACCAUAAGGCACAAGGGAGACGAGUAGAUGAAUGUGGAGUCCAGUGUCCUACACUCGUCUUCUGUGCACCGUCCCUCUGAUGUAAUGGAGUCGGUGCGGGUAUCCCUCACUCACCCAUCUUCCCCUGCAAAUAUAUUCCGGACCAGUGAACCACUGAAUGCUCAGCUCCAAUAGCUGCAGCUGCGGAGGUGGCACUCUUCAUAGACAGGCUACACUAUGUUCACCGUUCAUUACCACCUAUUGUAAGUGGACGUCGCCUAGGGGGUGAUGUUGAUGUUAACUUUCCUGAUGACCGCUCCCUCCUGUUUCUCUCUCUGGCCGC
ensembl:lncRNA